UAACUUGGGCAAUCUGCCCUCGAGAGGGAAACAACCUGCCGAAAGGUGGGCUAAUAUCCCGUAAGACCACAGGAUGGCAUCAUCUAGGGGUCAAAGCUCCGCAAGGGGCGCUUGAGGAGGAGCCUGAGGCCUAUCAUGGUAGUUGGCGGGGUAACGGCCCACCAAGCCUUUGACGGGUAGCCGGCCUGAAAGGGUGAUCGGCCACACUGGCACUGAGACACGGGCCAG
rnacentral:rRNA from 1 species